UGAAGAUUGAAGUUGCGCUGCGUUAAGA
rnacentral:piRNA from 1 species